AAUAAAGUACUCCCAACACCAAGAACAGCAAACUAUUAAAUCACCGCGAAGGAUUUUUGGCGAAAUUCAUACAUUUUACAGCGCAACACAUGCCAUGGAAAAAAACACAAAUAAAAAAACAAUAAAUUUUAUUUCCCAUAUCUGUUACACGUACACAGGCGUUAUCUGGACUCCGCGCCACCGGAAACGGAAUUCAGCCGCUCUGGGUUUUAUGACGCAAUUUUCGCUGAACGUACAGACCUAUAAAAUGGAGAAAUCAGGGGGAAUAAUAAUAGGACGGUGGGUCACACUGUGGAUUGCGAAGCUGAAGAGGAAAAGUGUAUCAGGUGUAAUAACGAAGAGGAAAAACAAACUGCGUGGUGUGAUUCAGGAAGACACUGGAGGAUAAUCUGAUCUUCUAGCAGGUUCACAGCAGAGCGUGAGGUGGGACACUAGAGCUUCACCACCCUCCCUGGAAACAUGCUUCUCUGGUCGAGGUGGUUUUCAUUCAUGGCACAUUCAAUGACCGUUUUGUUCCUUCUCCUCUGCUCUCAGUUGGUUGUCGGUGGUGUUGUGACUUCUGCCAGAGGGAACACCAGCACAUUGUCCUGCAGAAACAUUUCUGCUGGUGAUGUUUACACGUGCCCAGUGCCGUCUUAUAUACCAUCUGCUGUACUGUGGAACAAGGACUGUGAGCAAGAGUGGUACAAUGAGGCAGGGGAGUUUUUGUCAGAUGGACAUCAUCAUGCAAAUAAAACUAGGCACCGACUGGUUGUUGAGGAAAGCAGUGAAAACAUCACACUCUCUAAAUGCGUCAAGCUUCACUAUUAUGUGACCUGUCAUGGAUCGAGUCAAAAGUUUAAACACACUUACCAAGGACAAAGUUGUUACAGUGAUGAAGACAAAUUAAACUGUUAUAACAUCGUAUCUGAAAGGUGAAAUGUUCUGCUCAAGUCUGCUUGGUUCCAGUUGAUCUGCUCGGUCAUCUGCGUUUUCUGAAUACGACUCGAACUGAUCCGGUAAAACCUCAGACAUUAUUAACUGUAUUUAUAAUGACUUUAGAAGCCUUGGAAGUUGAAGCUUGCGAUUAUAGUAUGUGGCGUUUACAUUUCCAACACACGCUUGAGAUUUUUGGCUAAUCACAACGCAGUGGGUCAGCUAGCCAAUCAGAGCACUCUGGGAUUUUCGGAAAGGAGAAACCCGAACUCAAUCGGAGCAUUUCAGGAAUACUGGGAAUAGAUGUACUGCAGUGAUGUACAGUAUGUUUGGGGGGUGUUUUGAACAUUAAAGCAUGUUAAUCUAUUCUAUUACACCCAAUAAACAAAAUGAUUAACUUUUUAAAAAAUCAUUUGACAUCUUUAAAUAAACUUCACCACAUCGUUACACGUUUUUAAUCUGUUUGUGAAGCAUCCGCUUUACAAAUCCUUGUUAAUGAGCUGUUCCUAUAGAAACGAUAAAGUAUUAGAACGAGUACAUUAACAUAGACCUGUGGUUUUACGCUCUUGCUAGCUACCUCCGUAUGGUGCUAAACUAGUGCAGGUUUAUAGAGAGAGAAAGCUCUUAAACUCCAUCUAUGUUCAGCAGAUUUUCAUAAACUUAGUUCUGUAACAGAGGUCGCACAUUUCUGCAUCUCACAGGUCAUCAAUUUUUUUUAUUUUUUUUUAACAGGACUUUUUUGUUCAUAUUUAUAAGUAUGAAAGAGAUUGUGUGCAUUUGUGCACUGGAAGUAUAUUAAAAACAAAAGUGCUUUAAAAAAAACAAACAAAUAAAUAAUUUCCGUAACCGUAUAAAGACUUGGCGCCUUGUGAGCAUCUGUACACAGCAUUUUGACAUGCUCACCGAUACGAUCGCACAGAAGUAUAAAUCAGAGCUUUGACGAGAUCAGAAAACAGCUGGCCAAUCAUAUUCUCACACUGAUGCACGUGCAGAUUAAUGCGUCGUUGCUCCUUUAAUUAUGGAGACGCGUGCAAGUGUAGCAGUCGGAGCAACCAGUUAACGUUUUUGUGUGUUGUUGGUCUUUGGUGCAACACAUUAACUGUCUGUUUUCUCCUUCCUUCCUCAAGUGAUCAAUGACACCACCCUGAGUUUUGAGCAGCAAUCCGAUAGCAGCACCACCACCAACACCACCAUCAUCUCUGUCGUCAUUCCCCUGAUUGUAGGCCUGCACUACAUUUUUAAAAAAAAAGUGGUGAAGUGCUGAGCAGCCAGAGCACUCCAAGAGCAUAUGAAGAUUAAGUUUCUCCAUCCAGUCUGAUUCUGCCUUUUCUAUAAUCGUACUUGUAUAUCUGCUUUUGUACUUUCACUAUAUUUUUCUUGCAUUUUGAACAUUUUUAAAAUGUUAAAAUACUAAAUAGGUAAACAGACCUUGGAAUUAUAGGAUUCUUACCACAAGUGCCAAAUGUUUUAAUCACGUCAAAGCACACAGAACAACUUUUAUACUUCACACAUUUUAUUAUACUAUGUAGCAGUAUUUUGGUGUAAAAUAUAUUGUAUACGUUGUUGCGUCCCAGUCUAGGUUGGGCCGCACAAAGUAACCAGCUCAGGAUUCAAGUUGAUUGAUCUUUUAAAGUGUAAGUGAGGGAGCCAGGAAUAACAACAAAACAGGGUUGUUCAAAAAGUUGUAGUGUAUUAUCUCAGACAAUAUAUACAUAUAACUAUACAAAUAACCAAAAUAGGCGUAUCUUCAGGGUGGACCAAAGCCAAAAUAAUUAACAAAAGGAUCCUAUGAUUUAGGUGUCUAGCUGACCUAAAAGGAAAGAAAAGAAAAUACAAAUAUUCUACCCUAACUACCUAAGCAAGAAACAGAGACAAAAGGGACCAUCUCCCAAAAUAAAUGACAGCCACACUCCUACAGCCACCGAACCAAAAGAGCGCACACACACACACACAUGUGAAGAGAAUGCACAAACAAUAUAUAGGGAUAACCAAAGUCAGAGUCAAAAACCAGGCAGAAGUCAAAAUACAGAGUUAGCCACAAGGGCAAGCACACAAAUCAAGCAAUCUCCUAACACCACCACCAAACACCUCCAACAUCCCACCACGUCUCACUCCGUCUUCCUCUUUAAAAAUGGCCGCCAUUCACUGAGGUCAUCAAGGAGACGGGAGCAAGACAGACUAUGGCAGGCUUGGAAAAAAGCGUGAAAAGUAAACCGGUAUUUUAUUUAAAAAAAAAUUUAAAAAGCAGAAAAAAGAUGUAUUGCUGCAUCAUUAACACUGCCUAUAGGUCAUAAAGAAGAGACUGCUAUAAUUGAGUUAUUAGUCAAGUUUAAUUCAGUAUUUAAAAAAAAAAAAUACAGCUACAAUAUUUUUAAAAAAUCAGUCUGCCCCUUCAUUUUAUUAAAAACAUUUUUAUAGUACUGUGAAUUAAAAUGUUGCACAAAACAAUGAAGACCAAAGAACUUAUUAAAUCCUAGAGUAAUAUAAAAUACAGUAUUAAUAAUCAAAGAUUGUUAAAUUUGUUUACUUAUUGUAUGUUAUUUAUCACUUCAUGCUGCCAUUUAAAGGAUGUGUUUGUUUUAAACAACUGGCGGUUUAAGCUGACAUGACCACUCUGAAUGUAACAUUAAAGCAGGGCUGUCAAACAUGGGACUGGACUGUCCAGUGGGACAUGACUGGCCCUAUAGAAGUAUUUGUAAUCCAACCUAGCAUAUGAAUUUAGAAACCAUAAUAUUUUAUUGGACAUUUAUUUAUUUUUAAUGAAUUGCAGAGUGCACACAAUGUAGAUUUCCACUAAAUUGGUCAAUAACCAACUUUUUCUGUCCCAUCGAACUAAGUAUAAUCUAUUCUGUAAGAUGCCCCUGAUUUAAAGCAUUAAUUUGUACUCAUGCAAUACUUUUAUUUAUUUAUUUAUUUUAUCUCAUUUUUUCUUUAAUGCCAUCACUUUAUUAGGGAUCUAAAUGUCUAUCAAGCUUCUCUGUGACUGUACAAUGAAAUAUCUGGCCUUGCUGAGUGACUUUCUUUUAUAUAUGUAGCCUGAACUGGAGAACUUUAUAUCUUGGGUGAAUGUAGCUGUUACUGUAGAAUGAGACGAUCUGAAUAAAAAACAUCUCUUUUAAUACCACAGCACUGUUUGAUUCUGAAUUGUGAUUGGCCACAAUGUGUUGAUUGAUUUUUCUUUAAGAGCAGCUCUGGCAGUAGUGCAGCUGCAAAAUGGUUCAUGUUGUCUAGUUUGGUCUUUUCUGGAAAAAUUGCAAUAUGAUGCCAUAUUGUUACACCCUUAAACACUGUAUAUGACUUAACGCACCUUGUGCUUCUUUUGCUGUUUACUGUUUCAGAAAGUCACUAUAAAGCACAUGUCAGAAUUAUAACAUGGUCGGUACUACUGAGUGUUCAAUACAGAAAACAAUGGGAAUUUAAUGACCACUUGUACAGUGCUGCUAGAAAGUUUGUGAACCCUUUACAAAUUUCUGUAUUUCUGCAUAACUUUUACCAGAAAUGUGAUCAGAUCUUCAUCUAAGACUUAAAACUUGAUAAAGAGAACUCAAUAAAUAAAUGU